UACAGAGGUCCCAAGCGUUGUUCGGAUUCACUGGGCGUAAAGGGUGCGUAGGUGGCCAGGUAAGUUUGGUGUGAAAGCUCGGAGCUUAACUCCGAAAUGUCAUUGAAUACUAUCUGGCUGGAGGGUCGGAGGGGAGACUGGAAUUCUCGGUGUAGCAGUGAAAUGCGUAGAUAUCAAGAGGAACACCAGUGGCGAAGGCGAGUCUCUGGACGACUCCUGACACUGAGGCACGAAAGCCGGGGGAGCAAACAGG
rnacentral:rRNA from 1 species